rnacentral:rRNA from 1 species
GGGGAAUUUUGGACAAUGGGCGAAAGCCUGAUCCAGCAAUGCCGCGUGCAGGAUGAAGGCCUUCGGGUUGUAAACUGCUUUUGUACGGAACGAAAAAGCUUCUCCUAAUACGAGAGGCCCAUGACGGUACUGUAAGAAUAAGCACCGGCUAACUACGUGCCAGCAGCCGCGGUAAUACGUAGGGUGCGAGCGUUAAUCGGAAUUAAUGGGCGUAAAGCGUGCGCAGGCGGUUAUGUAAGACAGAUGUGAAAUCCCCGGGCUCAACCUGGGAACUGCAUUUGUGACUGCAUGGCUAGAGUACGGUAGAGGGGGAUGGAAUUCCGCGUGUAGCAGUGAAAUGCGUAGAUAUGCGGAGGAACACCGAUGGCGAAGGCAAUCCCCUGGACCUGUACUGACGCUCAUGCACGAAAGCGUGGGGAGCAAACA